rnacentral:lncRNA from 1 species
CCCAGAAAUUCCUUUUGGUAAACAGGACCCAGGCAGAGCUGGGCUCAAAUUGAGACUUUCCUUUGGCUCUACGCUAUUGGAAGAAAUAAGGAGAGAUUUUGGAUGCCUCUGCUCAGUCCCCAGCCUUGGCAUUGAACUCCCACAAAACGAUGAGUCACAUGGAGCUGGUUGUUUCCUUGAGAACAGCAAAAGCGAGUGAGAAUUAUCUUGGAAUUCAGGAGCCCAGGAGUGCCACGGACGAAUCGAAUUUCACAGCGGAGCCCGGGGCACCAGGCUCCCCCUGAUGGCUGCAGAAGGAGUGGCCGUGUGUGGAGAUCCAAGCCCUGCCCUGCUGCAGCCCAGCCCAGGGCUGAGGUCUGUCCCUGUCCUGCUGUCCAGCCGGGAGUGCCCAUGGGAUGCUCAGACUGAGCUGCUCCCUGCAGAGCUGCCCCAGCAGGAGCAGAAAGUGCUUGGCAGCCCAGCCUGGAGGAAGCCAGCAAUCCCACCCAGAGCUGGAGCCAUCCCCCAGCAGCCCUCUGGGACUGCCAUCAGCAGAGGCUGCCUUGCUUCUAAAGGUGCUCUUAAUGCAGCUGAGCUUCUGCUGGAGCUUUGAGCCAGUUCUGAGGCAGCAGUGCCCCUUUGGAUGAAGAAGCAGAAGCAGCAUCAUCCAGGAAACACCAAGGGGGAUCAGAGUAGCUUGAUCAUUUCCUCAACCAGAGAAAUCCCAUCUGGAGGUAAAGGGAAGUUCCCAGCUGGCUCCUUUCCACAGUGACCACACACCCUCACACCCUCUGCUCCCUCUGUCCCACCCCUCAGCAGCUGGAAACAAGAGGGUGCCGAGAGGAAUUUUUAGACUUAUGUGCAACUUCCAUUUGACAUCUCGGGCUCUCUAGCAGUAAACAGAAAUGAAAGUAAAACACCUGCAAAGAAAACAAGGUUCUCAAGAGCCCCUUGAGAGCACCCAGGGCAAGCCCUGCUGGAACAGGGCUGGGCAGAGCAAUUGCUCAGGAUUGUGCCAUUCAGGUUUUGAGAUUCUGUCUCCCCAGGAUCGUUAAGGAGGUGUUAACAUGACUGAACAGCUGCUACAACCAAGAAGCAAUUACUGGUGCAGCAGGACAUGGUUUGCUUAACAAGGCCUUCCCAUUUUUCCUGAUGACUGCUGGAACAGAGCAGGGAUUUAGGAGGAGCAGAGGAAACAGAAUUGGACUCUUUAAACAAUUACAAACUCCUUUAUCCCGUGUAGUGCCUGCACAAUGCAGAACCCG